UUAGUUAUGCCGAAUGAGACGGUGGAGAAGCUGUAUACCUGAGUAUCGCUAAAACCACAAUAAAUCUAAAUUGAACUCUACGAAGCACUCAGUGGUAGAUCCGUGCUAAAGUAAGCUGGCUGCUCCUGCCUUGCAUCAAGGCUGCUAUAAACAAAUCGCUCCACAUUGCUUGGUACCGUUACAUCCUGUCUUGCAGGCUAAAAUAAACACUUUGUCAUAAUUCCAGUGGUACAUAGGAUAUUUAUAUGAAUCGUGUUAAAUUAAGGAUUAGGAGUGUAAACUGGUGUUUUCAUGCUUACAAUAGACCUGAAGUGCAGUUUCUUGCAGCACAGUGUCAGGAGCCAAGCGUGCGUUUAUUGUGACUGUUUUCUACCCGACUGCCUCUGUUCAGUAUCAGCACCCUUAUCAUGUGUGUUCCCAGGUUCCCAUCAUCAAACUGACUGACUCCUUCACUGAGGUCAAAGUGGACAUCAGCUUCAAUGUGAAGAGUGGCGUUGAAGCCGCUCGGCUCAGCAAGGACUACAAAGAGCUUCGCUACAGGGGAAGGACGUGUGCAGUCCCAACAUCAACAUCGGUGCUCUUCUCAUUGAAUUCUUUGAACUCUACGGUCGCCACUUCAACUACCUGAAAGUAGGUAUCAGGAUAAAAGAUGGAGGUUGUUACGUUGCCAAAGACGAGGUUCAGAAGAACAUGAUGGAUGGCUACAGGCCCUCCAUGCUCUACAUUGAGGACCCACUGCAACCAGACAACGAUGUUGCCCGGAGUUUGUACGGUGCCAUGCAGCUUAAGCAGGACUUUGACUACGCCCGUGUGGUGCUCAGCCAUGCUGUACCCUCUCAUUUCAGAGUCACUAGUGAUUUUAGUUUCUGUGCAAAAACUUCCACAUGAAACAAGAGCUUUCGAACAACUGCCACGGUCCAUGUUUUACUGCAGCUGGUACAUUGCUGGUCUUUCCUUCAGUCCUUGCUUCACAGACAGCUUUAAUGUUAAACAAGUGGAGUUUUUUAUUGACGAUAAAUAAGCACUGAGCUGUUGCUUACACAAUGGAGAUGGCAUGGGAAACCAAAGUCAGUCACUUCUAAUGAAUCCAAAUACCUCACUGUCAUUCAUGUCAAAGCGUGGCUAGGCCAAAAUUUCUUAGAACUAAAUGAGAGUAAAACAGAGAUCAUGCAGUUUGGCCCCACUAACUGCACGAUAGACUUGGGCCCCCUCAAUGACUUUGUGCAUCCUGUUGUAACUAACCUUGGGGUCAAAAAUAGACAGUGAUUUUAAACUUGACAAACAAAUAAAUGCGGUUGUGAAAUCUAGUUUUUAUCAUCUUCGCCUUUUAGCCAAAGUUAAACCUUUUAUUUCUUCUCGUUGUACUGUAAUGCACUUUAUAUCGGUAUAAAUCACAACGCACUUUCACGCUUACAGUUAGUCCAAAAUUCUGCAGCACGUCUUUUAACAGGAACCAAAAAGCGCGCUCAUAUAACUCCAAUUCUUGCCUCAUUGCACUGGCUUCCUGUUCGUUUUAGGAUUGAUUUUAUUGUUUGUUUUUAAAGCUGUGAAUGGACUGGCCCCAACAUAUAUCUCGGACCUCGUCCAAAUUUAUACGCCAGUGCGGUCACUGAGGUCAGAGGGCCAGCUCCAGCUUGCGGCCCCCAAGACAAGAGAGGGCCUUUUCUGUGGUUGGACCUAAACUCUGGAACGCUCUGCCCCUCCAUGUCCGAACAGCCCCUACAGUUGAGUGUUUCUCCUCUAAAGACACAUUUUUAUUCUUUGGCUUUUAACUCCGCGAGUUGUGUGGUCCUCUGAUUGUUUUACUGUAUUUUAGUAUUUAAAGCUGAUGCUCUUAUUUUGCUUUUACAAAAUUUUAUAUUAAUUGUUUUGUAUGUUUGAGUCUUCUGUGCAGCACUUUGGUAACUUUGUGUUUGUAAAAUGUGCUAUAGAAAUAAAGUGGAUUGGAUUCAUUUUUAUUGGAACUGCUUUGUAUUCAAGAAAAAGUCCCAAUAUGGUUUAUUUACUGUUAUUUAUGUCAGUACGUCACAGUAGCUGUUGAAAGUCACCGUUUUGUGGCUCGCUGUAAAUAUACUGAGAGUUUAUUUAGUUGUUAUGGAGGAGAGAGGUGAGGUUUCUAAAUGGACAACACUGGUGCUUGAGGUCAGUGUUAGCUUCACGUGGGUGUUAAUGUUUUCAUUAACCCAGCACUGUCCAGCAUUUUUUAUGGAUGUAAUGUUGCAGGCUAGUUGAGUUUACCAUUGCAGAAAUUCAAUAUAAUUGUAGGAGCAGAGAUUAUAGUGGCUGGAUAUUGCCGAGCAUUGGCUUUGUUUACAGUCAAACAUCCACCUAUUGCCAACUUCUGCUUAGGAGAAUUAAUCAAUUAAAAUGCUUACAUACAAAUAUCACCACAACGCAUUUCAUUGGCUCCAACUACUGCAGCUCUUUGCUACAAUGUGUCAUAGAGGCACAAGUAGUGGUUAUUUUCAUUAUCGAUUAAUUUGCCAAUCAUUUAUUUGUUUUGUCUACAAAUGGUGGAAGAAUUAUAUGUAUGUAUUAUAUGUAUAAAUUCUCUAAGCCUGCCCAUGGUGAAGCCUUGAAUAAUUUUUUUCUGUCUGACCAACAGUCCAAAACCUAAACAUAUUUAAUUUACUUCUUACAUUUGAGAAACACACAAACACUUGUCAGGUCUCUGGCUAUUGUGGCAGACAGAUGCCAAUGGUAUUUCUUACUAAACAAAUGUAUUGUGCCAUACCCAUACUGUCA